rnacentral:rRNA from 1 species
GAUGAACGCUGGCGGCAUGCCUAAUACAUGCAAGUCGAACGGGAGGAAGGAAGCUUGCUUUCCUGAAUCUAGUGGCGAACGGGUGAGUAACACGUAGGUAACCUGCCCAUGUGCCCGGGAUAACUUCUGGAAACGGAUGCUAAAACCGGAUAGGUAGCAGACAAGCAUUUGACUGCUAUUAAAGUGGCCUUGGCCAUGAACAUGGAUGGACCUGCGGUGCAUUAGCUGGUUGGUGAGGUAACGGCCCACCAAGGCGACGAUGCAUAGCCGGCCUGAGAGGGCGGACGGGCCACAUUGGGACUGAGAUACGGCCCAAACUCCUACGGGAGGCAGGCAGUAGGGAAUUUUUCGGUCAAUGGGGGGAACCCUGAACGAGCAAAUGCCGCGUGAGUGAGGAAGGUCUUCGGGAUCGUAAAGCUCUGUUGUAAGAGAAAAACGGGCACUCAUAGGGAAUGAUGAGUGAGUGAUGGGUAUCUUUACCAGAAAAAGUCACGGGCUAAACUACGUGCCA